GAUGAAGAACGCAGCGAAAUGCGAUAAGUAAUGUGAAUUGCAGAAUUCAGUGAAUCAUCGAAUCUUUGAACGCACAUUGCGCCCUCUGGUAUUCCGGAGGGCAUGCCUGUUCGAGCGUCAUUUCGACCCUCAAGCAUUGCUUGGUGUUGGGGAUCGGCCAAAGCCCGCGAGGGACGGCCGGCCCCUAAAUCUAGUGGCGGACCCGUCGUGGCCUCCUCUGCGAAGUAGUGAUAUUCCGCAUCGGAGAGCGACGAGCCCCUGCCGUUAAACCCCCAACUUUCCAAGGUUGACCUCAGAUCAGGUAGGAAUACCCGCUGAACUUAAGCAUAUCAAUAAGCGGAGGA
rnacentral:misc_RNA from 1 species